AGCAGCAGCCACGGUAAUACAGAGGGUGCGAGCGUUAAUCGGAUUUACUGGGCGUAAAGCGUGCGUAGGCGGCUUUUUAAGUCGGAUGUGAAAUCCCUGAGCUUAACUUAGGAAUUGCAUUCGAUACUGGGAAGCUAGAGUAUGGGAGAGGAUGGUAGAAUUCCAGGUGUAGCGGUGAAAUGCGUAGAGAUCUGGAGGAAUACCGAUGGCGAAGGCAGCCAUCUGGCCUAAUACUGACGCUGAGGUACGAAAGCAUGGGGAGCAAACAGGAUUAGAUACCCCUGUAGUCCCUGUCUCUUAUAA
rnacentral:rRNA from 1 species